rnacentral:rRNA from 1 species
AUGCAAAGUAAGCAUGUGAGUGUUAAUUACCUGUUGCUUACCCGAAUUCGGAGCUCUCCAGGAGCGUUUGCAGAUCUUCCUCACAGCGUGUCCGAUGCUGCCGCGUUCUACCGGGCCGAGGAGGGGAGCUCGACGGAGAAGGUCUUCUGGUCUCAGUAUGCUGAGGCCGGACAUCCGGUGCCCCUUAGCGACCAGCUGAAGCAACUGGUCGAGCUCCACAAGGCGGCCGAACAUGCCAUGAAGGGCCUCAUAGUUCGGCUGUGGCUGAAGGAGGCCAUGCCUGGGAGCUACUUCGGCCUGGUGCGGUGGCUGGUGGAUGCGUGCCCGUGGGUUGAAGUCAUCAAGCACUCCGCCUGUAUUGAAGGUGCUCGUCGGGCCCUUGCCCGCGCAAAGGUGCACUGGGGCAAGAUGGAUGCCCAGAAGCUUUUGACGGACGCGCCACCGCAGGGCAAGGAGCAUCGCACGCCCGAGAUGUAUUAUAAGAGUGUGCUGAAGGGUGCCCGCACUAUUGCGGGUGAGUGCUCCAAAGAUAUAAUAUUUGACUAG